GGCGGGGUGGAGCAGUUAGGUAGCUCGUCGGGCUCAUGACCCGAAGGUCAACGGUUCGAUUCCGUUCCCCGCUC
rnacentral:tRNA from 1 species